AGAGAUUUGUUCGAGGGCCUUUGGGCCAACCUCCCACCCUUGGCUCUCUACACCUGGUGCUUUGGCGGGCCCACCGGGGUCACCUGGUCCCCCGGGGAAGCAAGUCCCCGGGCCCCCCCCCCCCCAAACGCUCUGGGGAACCCGGAGAAAAAGGGCUGUCUGAAUACGAAGAAAAUUGGCCAAACUUUCAACAAUGGAUCUCUUGGUUCCGGCAUCGAUGAAAAACGCAGCGAAAUGCGAUAAGUAAUGUGAAUUGCAGAAUUCCGUGAAUCAUCGAAUCUUUGAACGCACAUUGCGCCCCCUGGCAUUCCGGGGGGCAUGCCUGUCCGAGCGUCAUUUCUGCCCUCAAGCACGGCUUGUGUGUUGGGUGUGGUCCCCCCGGGGACCUGCCCGAAAGGCAGCGGCGACGUCCGUCUGGUCCUCGAGCGUAUGGGGCUCUGUCACUCGCUCGGGAAGGACCUGCGGGGGUUGGUCACCACCAUAUUUUACCACGGUUGACCUCGGAUCAGGUAGGAGUUACCCGCUGAACUUUAGCAUUUCAAUU
rnacentral:rRNA from 1 species